CCUACGGGAGGCAGCAGUGGGGAAUAUUGGACAAUGGGCGCAAGCCUGAUCCAGCCAUGCCGCGUGAGUGAUGAAGGCCCUAGGGUCGUAAAGCUCUUUCAACGGUGAAGAUAAUGACGGUAACCGUAGAAGAAGCCCCGGCUAACUUCGUGCCAGCAGCCGCGGUAAU
rnacentral:rRNA from 1 species